rnacentral:rRNA from 1 species
UACGUAGGGUGCGAGCGUUGUCCGGAAUUACUGGGCGUAAAGAGCUCGUAGGUGGUUUGUCGCGUUGUUCGUGAAAACUCACAGCUUAACUGUGGGCGUGCGGGCGAUACGGGCAGACUGGAGUACUGCAGGGGAGACUGGAAUUCCUGGUGUAGCGGUGAAAUGCGCAGAUAUCAGGAGGAACACCGGUGGCGAAGGCGGGUCUCUGGGCAGUAACUGACGCUGAGGCGCGAAAGCGUGGGGAGCGAACAGG